GGGAGAGUCGGAGCAGAUCGCGGAGCCGGCGCGUCCCGGGCGCCCGCUGGUUCCGGCGAACGCGCCCCUUCCUGCGCCCGCUUGUUCCACGACCGAUUCCCCUGCGCCCUCUGCCGCUGCCGGCUCGCGCGGCGUCCCCAACCCCUCCCGCCGCCCCCUCGCUCCGGCAUUCCGUUCCCUCCGGCGCCCCUGUGCCCUCCGCGCUCGCUCCCUCCUGCGCCCCGCAUCCCCUCUACCUCCAAAGCCGGGGCUCCCUGCAGAACAGAGCGCCUGCCCCCGUUAGCGCCCGGGGGACCUCGGUGUUCUUGAAGCGCCCCGGCGCCUUGGACAGCCUGUCCGCGGGGGGUGCAGCAGUUUGACCCCGAGAUUGGUUGUGAGAUCGGGCAGCCUAGCAGGGUGUGUAUAAAAUCCUUCCUGCGUCAAGAGGGGACCCAGCCGGGCCGCGUGCUGGCAGCUUGGGAGAUCAGAGGAAAAGUACUUGAAGAACUUUCCCAGGGGCAGAUCCUUGGAGAGGAUGCGUCCAAGAACUGGAGGAACAGUACAGUAACUGCAAAGGAAUGCUCACCUCGGCACAGCCUUUCUCUGUGAGGACAACGAUCCUUCAUGCUACUGUGGCUGAUUGCCCUUUACCUGCCCCUUACCUGAUUUGGGGGGACCAGCUUAGUUAGGAGGAGAUGAACUCCGCCUUUCAAGUUUUCAGUUCCUCGGAGGGGUUCAUAAGGAGAGCUAAGUAGUGUUGUUUUAAUCUAUUGAUAAGAGCGGAAGGCUGAAUGAGACAAAUGAUCCACUAUUUACUCGAUCAUCUGUUUACAUUUUCUGCUUUCUUUGGAUGUGAGCCAAAAAUUCUUGUUGUAUUUUUAGCAAUUGUGAUCAUCAUUAAACAGCCUUCGCUAAGCACC